UGGUUUCGGCUCGUAAAACUCUGUUGUUAAAGAAGAACAUAUCUGAGAGUAACUGUUCAGGUAUUGACGGUAUUUAACCAGAAAGCCACGGCUAACUACGUGCCAGCAGCCGCGGUAAUACGUAGGUGGCAAGCGUUGUCCGGAUUUAUUGGGCGUAAAGCGAGCGCAGGCGGUUUUUUAAGUCUGAUGUGAAAGCCUUCGGCUCAACCGAAGAAGUGCAUCGGAAACUGGGAAACUUGAGUGCAGAAGAGGACAGUGGAACUCCAUGUGUAGCGGUGAAAUGCGUAGAUAUAUGGAAGAACACCAGUGGCGAAGGCGGCUGUCUGGUCUGUAACUGACGCUGAGGCUCGAAAGUAUGGGUAGCAAACAGGAUUAGAUACCCUGGUAGUCCAUACCGUAAACGAUGAAUGCUAAGUGUUGGAGGGUUUCCGCCCUUCAGUGCUGCAGCUAACGCAUUAAGCAUUCCGCCUGGGGAGUACGGCCGCAAGGCUGAAACUCANAGGAAUUGACGGGGGCCCGCACAANCGGUGGAGCAUGUGGNNUAAUUCGAAGCUACNCGAAGAAC
rnacentral:rRNA from 1 species